UACAGAGGUCCCGAGCGUUGUUCGGAUUCAUUGGGCGUAAAGGGUGCGUAGGCGGCGGGGAAAGUCUGAUGUGAAAUCCUGGGGCUCAACCCUGGAACUGCAUUGGAUACUUCCUUGCUAGAGUACUGGAGAGGAAACUGGAAUUUACGGUGUAGCAGUGAAAUGCGUAGAGAUCGUAAGGAAGACCAGUGGCGAAGGCGGCGUUCUGGACUGCAUCUGACACUGAAAGACGAAAGCCAGGGGAGCAAAGCGGG
rnacentral:rRNA from 1 species